AAAAGGGAAAACCCAUUCCAGUGGUUUCUUUUCCUUAAAGGCAUUUUGGACUUAGCUCUUCCCACACUACAGGUUUUGGGUAUGACCAUAAACUGCAUCUGACUGGAGGACCUGGGGGCAAUGUGGUGAGGCUACUCAUGGUGGGGUAGCUUCUGAAAAAGACCAUAUGUUGCAACCUCCACAGUAAGACUCAUAAAACAAAACGUAGUCAGUGACCCCCAACUGCCAUGGAGCGCCCCCACUGACCCCCAGCAG